UUACCGCGGCGGCUGGCACCGGUCUUUCCCGCCCCUAUAUACCCGACCUUUUUACAGUCGGUUCAGACUGGACUUUUGAUCCAGACAAGUGGAGUUCCCUGAUCACGACUUCUCGCAUUGUCAAGUUUUCGCGCCUGCUGCACCCCGUA
rnacentral:rRNA from 1 species